rnacentral:rRNA from 1 species
UCUGGCGGCAGUAGCGCGGUGGUCCCACCUGACCCCAUGCCGAACUCAGAAGUGAAACGCCGUAGCGCCGAUGGUAGUGUGGGGUCUCC